CACACCUAGUGAUAGGAAUUUGCCGAAUUCAUUGAAUUCAUCUAGACAGAUUUUCUAAUCGAGUGGUCAUUGGGAGUGACCUUCAACUGUCAAGUGCAGUUGCGUUCGGCCAUCAGCCACACACGAUUAUAUUCAAUGGCAUCAUAAG
ensembl:ncRNA T28C12.10 ncRNA